rnacentral:misc_RNA from 1 species
GAUGAAGAACGCAGCGAAAUGCGAUAAGUAAUGUGAAUUGCAGAAUUCAGUGAAUCAUCGAAUCUUUGAAUGCACAUUGCGCCCGCCAGUAUUCUGGCGGGCAUGCCUGUUCGAGCGUCAUUACAACCCUCAGGCCCCCGGGCCUGGCGUUGGGGAUCGGCGGAGCCCCCCGUGGGCACACGCCGUCCCCCAAAUGCAGUGGCGGUCCCGCCGCAGCUUCCAUCGCGUAGUAGCUAACACCUCGCGACUGGAGAGCGGCGCGGCCACGCCGUAAAACACCCAACUCUUCUGAAGUUGACCUCGAAUCAGGUAGGAAUACCCGCUGAACUUAAGCAUAUCAAUAAGCGGAGGA